rnacentral:tRNA from 1 species
GCCUUCGUGGUGUAAUGGUCAGCACGCUCAACGCGAUAGGUCGGUGGUUCGAGUCCCGGCGAAGGCA